rnacentral:rRNA from 1 species
AUACGUAGGGAGCGAGCGUUGUCCGGAAUUACUGGGCGUGAAGGGCGCGUAGGCGGCGCUUCAAGUCGUCUGUCAAAUGGGAGGGCUUAACCCUUUUUCGCAGACGAAACUGGAGAGCUUGAGAAGCAGAGAGGCAAACAGAAUUCCUGGUGUAGCGGUGAAAUGCGUAGAUAUCAGGAAGAAUACCAGUGGCGAAGGCGGUUUGCUGGCUGCAUACUGACGCUGAAGCGCGAAAGCCAGGGGAGCGAACGGGAUUAGAUACCCCGGUAGUCCUGGCAGUAAACGAUGUAUGCUGGGUGUGAGACUAGCGAUAGUUUCGUGCCGAAGUUAACGCGAUAAGCAUACCGCCUGGGGAGUACGGUCGCAAGAUUGAAACUCAAAGGAAUUGACGGGG